rnacentral:lncRNA from 1 species
GAAGAUACAUACGAGGAUACAAGUUCCCAAUCCGAAACCUCAACUACUCUUCUUCGAUACGGCGAGGAGUCUCCGGGUAGCAGUUAUGGCCACCAGAGUCAUAGCUCACACCCUAAAUCCAGUAGCAGUUAUGGCCACCAAAGUCAGAACUCACACUCUCGGUCUGGUAACAGUUACGGCUACUAAAGUCAUAGCUUACGCUCUCAAUCCUAUGACAGUGAUGACAACCAAAGCCACGGUUCACACUCACAAUCAACCGCGUCACGCUAAUAGUGGGUAACUAUCAUUUGUCAGGAGAAAGAUAGGAUUAGCCAGAUAGGCUAUGCAUCCGUCAGUGGCAACCAAAAAUCAAAGGAACUCAUCUAUUCUUUUGGUUGUCGCUUCUAUUGUUCUCAACCAUGUAACAAUGAUUUUAUUCUAAGUAGAUGUCUCCUUUAACCCGUGAAGGUAUUAUGCGGUAUGUAUGCCACAUUUAGAAUAACCAUUAAUCACUUCAGACGGAUCAAUCACCCA